rnacentral:pre_miRNA from 1 species
AAUAUUUGACGCCGUUGACUUUUUUAAACAUGUUUGACCGUUCGUCUUAUUCAAAAAAUUUAAGUAAUUAUUAAUUUUUUCCCUAUCAUUUGAUUAAUUGUUAAAUAUAUACUUUUAUGUAUACAUAUAGUUUUACAUAUUUCACAAAAGUUUUUAAUAAGACGAACGGUCAAACACGUUUAAAAAAGUCAACAGCGUCAAAUAUU